CUUGGUUCAGGAUUAACGCUGGCGGCGUGCCUAAUACAUGCAAGUCGAAUGGUAGCAAUACCAUGGCGAACGGGUGAGUAACACGUAGGUAACCUGUCUUUAAGACGAGGGUAACCGUUGGAAACGACGGAUAAUACUCGAUAGGUGAUUUGAGGGCAUCCUUGGAUCAUUAAAGAUUUAUCACUUAGAGAGGGGCCUGCGGCGCAUUAGCUAGAUGGCGGUGUAAUGGACCACCAUGGCGAUGAUGCGUAGCCGGACUGAGAGGUUGAACGGCCACAAUGGAACUGAGAACGGUCCAUACUCCUACGGGAGGCAGCAGUAGGGAAUUUUCGGCAAUGGGCGAAAGCCUGACCGAAGCAACGCCGCGUGAACGAAGAAGUAUUUCGGUAUGUAAAGUUCUUUUAUCGGGGAAGAAAAUAUUCAAAUUGACGGUACCUGAUGAAUAAGCUCCGGCUAACUACGUGCCAGCAGCAGC
rnacentral:rRNA from 1 species